rnacentral:pre_miRNA from 1 species
CAACUUUCAUCCUACACCGUUGGAUCGAGAAAUGGACGUCCGAGAUUCGUCCACAUCACCAUGAGUUAAAAUUUAACUCCCAGUAAAUUUUAACUUAUGAGUGAAUCUGCGAGUUAAAUUUUAACUCAUGAUGACGUGGAUAAAUCUCGGACGUCCAUUUCUUAAUCCAACAGUGUAGGAUGAGAGUUG